GACGGAGGGUGCAAGCGUUGUUCGGAAUUACUGGGCGUAAAGGGCGCGUAGGCGGUCUGUUAAGUUCGGUGUGAAAGCCCCCGGCUCACCUGGGGAACUGCGCCGGAAACCGACAGACUCAAGUACCGGAGAGGAGGGUUGAAUUCCUGGUGUAGCGGUGAAAUGCGUAGAUAUCAGGAGGAACACCGGUGGCGAAGGCGGCCCUCUGGACGGAUACUGACGCUGAGGCGCGAAAGCGUGGGGAUCAAACAGG
rnacentral:rRNA from 1 species